rnacentral:rRNA from 1 species
CAGACGGCUCAGUAACACGUGGUCAACCUAACCUGUGGACGUGGAUAACCUCGGGAAACUGAGGAUAAACCACGAUAGAUCACAGUGCCUGGAAUGGCUUAUUGUCCAAACAGUUUACUGCCACGGGAUGGGACUGCGGCCUAUCAGCUUGUUGGUGAGGUAAUGGCCCACCAAGGCUAUUACAGGUACGGGCUCUGAGAGGAGAAGCCCGGAGAUGGGUACUGAGACACGGACCCAGGCCCUAUGGGGCGCAGCAGGCGAGAAACCUUAGCAAUGUGCGAAAGCACGACUGGGUCAGUCCGAGUGAUUUCUGAUAAAGGAAUCUUUUGCCUGUCCUAAAAGCACAGGUGAAUAAGGGGUGGGCAAGUCUGGUGUCAGCCGCCGCGGUAAUACCAGCACCUCGAGUGGUCAGGACGAUUAUUGGGCCUAAAGCAUCCGUAGCUGGUUCUGCAAGUCUCCGGUUAAAUCCACCUGCUUAACAGAUGGGCCGCUGGAGAUACUACAAAACUAGGGAGUGGGAGAGGCAGACGGUAUUCAGUGGGUAGGGGUAAAAUCCUCUGAUCCUUUGAGGACCACCUGUGGCGAAGGCGGUCUGCCAUAACACGUUCGACGGUGAGGGAUGAAAGCUGGGGGAGCCACC